rnacentral:rRNA from 1 species
AACGUAGGACACAAGCGUUAUCCGGAGUUACUGGGCGUAAAGGGCGUGUAGGCGGAUUUGUAAGUCUACUCUGAAAGCUUCUGGCUAAACUGGAAGAGGCGAGUGGAGACUGCAAGUCUAGAGUGAGGAAGAGGAAAGUGGAAUUCCGCGUGUAGUGGUGAAAUGCGUAGAGAUGCGGAGGAACACCAGUGGCGGAAAGCGGCUUUCUGGUCCUUAAC